rfam:Triticum aestivum genome assembly, contig: Triticum_aestivum_CS42_TGACv1_scaffold_246167_3B
CGAGGUGUAGCGCAGUCUGGUCAGCGCAUCUGUUUUGGGUACAGAGGGCCAUACGUUCGAAUCAUGUCACCUUGA